AUUGAACGCUGGCGGCAGGCCUAACACAUGCAAGUCGAACGAGUGGCGGACGGGUGAGUAAUGUCUGGGAAACUGCCCGAUGGAGGGGUAUAACCACUGGAAACGGUAGCUAAUACCGCAUACCAUCGGAUGUGCCCAGAUGGGAUUAGCGAGGAGGUGGGGUAACGGCUCCACUAGGCGACGAUCACUAGCUGGUCUGAGAGGAUGACCAGCCACACUGGAACUGAGACACGGUCCAGACUCCUACGGGAGGCAGCAGUGGGGAAUAUUGCACAAUGGGCGCAAGCCUGAUGCAGCCAUGCCGCGUGUAUGAAGAAGGCCUUCGGGUUGUAAAGUACUUUCAGCGAGGAGGCGUUACUCGCAGAAGAAGCAUCGGCUAACUCCGUGCCAGCAGCCGCGGUAAUUC
rnacentral:rRNA from 1 species